rnacentral:rRNA from 1 species
AGACCCGAAACCCGGUGAUCUAGCCAUGGGCAGGUUGAAGGUUGGGUAACACUAACUGGAGGACCGAACCGACUAAUGUUGAAAAAUUAGCGGAUGACCUGUGGCUGGGGGUGAAAGGCCAAUCAAACCGGGAGAUAGCUGGUUCUCCCCGAAAGCUAUUUAGGUAGCGCCUCGUGAAUUCAUCUCCGGGGGUAGAGCACUGUUUCGGCUAGGGGGCCAUCCCGGCUUACCAACCCGAUGCAAACUGCGAAUACCGGAGAAUGUUAUCACGGGAGACACACGGCGGGUGCUAACGUCCGUCGUGAAGAGGGAAACAACCCAGACCGCCAGCUAAGGUCCCAAAGUCAUGGUUAAGUGGGAAACGAUGUGGGAAGGCCCAGACAGCCAGGAUGUUGGCUUAGAAGCAGCCAUCAUUUAAAGAAAGCGUAAUAGCUCACUGGUCGAGUCGGCCUGCGCGGAAGAUGUAACGGGGCUAAACCAUGCACCGAAGCUGCGGCAGCGACACUCAGGUGUUGUUGGGUAGGGGAGCGUUCUGUAAGCCUGCGAAGGUGGCCUGUGAGGGUUGCUGGAGGUAUCAGAAGUGCGAAUGCUGACAUAAGUAACGAUAAAGCGGGUGAAAAGCCCGCUCGCC